GAUGAACGCUGGCGGCGUGCCUAAUACAUGCAAGUCGAGCGAACAGACGAGAGUGCUUGCACUCUCUGACGUUAGCGGCGGACGGGUGAGUAACACGUGGGUAACCUACCUAUAAGACUGGGAUAACUUCGGGAAACCGGAGCUAAUACCGGAUAAUAUUUAGCUUCGCAUGAAGCAAUAGUGAAAGACGGUUCUGCUGUCACUUAUUGAUGGACCCGCGGUGUAUUAGCUAGUUGGUGAGGUAACGGCUCACCAAGGCAACGAUACAUAGCCGACCUGAGAGGGUGAUCGGCCACACUGGGACUGAGACACGGCCCAGACUCCUACGGGAGGCAGCAGUAGGGAAUCUUCCGCAAUGGACGAAAGUCUGACGGAGCAAUGCCGCGUGAGUGAAGAAGGUUUUCGGAUCGUAAAACUCUGUUGUAAGGGAAGAACAAGUACGUUAGUAACUGAACGUACCUUGACGGUACCUUACCAGAAAGCCACGGCUAACUACGUG
rnacentral:rRNA from 1 species